UACGAAGGGAGCUAGCGUUGUUCGGAAUCACUGGGCGUAAAGAGCACGUAGGCGGACGUGUCAGUCAGGGGUGAAAUCCCGGGGCUCAACCUCGGAACUGCCUCUGAUACAGCACGUCUUGAGUCCGAGAGAGGUGGGUGGAAUUCCUAGUGUAGAGGUGAAAUUCGUAGAUAUUAGGAAGAACACCGGUGGCGAAGGCGGCCCACUGGCUCGGUACUGACGCUGAGGUGCGAAAGCGUGGGGAGCAAACAGG
rnacentral:rRNA from 1 species